rnacentral:snRNA from 1 species
UAGGAGGGCGCGGCGGUCG